rnacentral:rRNA from 1 species
AGAAUUGAUCUUGGUUCAGGAUGAACGCUAGCUACAGGCUUAACACAUGCAAGUCGAGGGGCAGCAUGAUCUAAGCUUGCUUAGAUUGAUGGCGACCGGCGCACGGGUGAGUAACGCGUAUCCAACCUUCCCUAUAGUAGAGGAUAGCCCGGCGAAAGUCGGAUUAAUACUCUAUGUUGUCCAAUGCGGACAUCUAAGUUGAACCAAAGGUUUACCGCUAUAGGAUGGGGAUGCGUCUGAUUAGGUUGUUGGCGGGGUAACGGCCCACCAAGCCUACGAUCAGUAGGGGUUCUGAGAGGAAGGUCCCCCACAUUGGAACUGAGACACGGUCCAAACUCCUACGGGAGGCAGCAGUGAGGAAUAUUGGUCAAUGGGCGAGAGCCUGAACCAGCCAAGUAGCGUGCAAGGAUGACGGCCCUAUGGGUUGUAAACUGCUUUUAUACAGGGAUAAAGUGCGCCACGUGUGGCGUUUUGUAGGUACUGUAUGAAUAAGGACCGGCUAAUUCCGUGCCAGCCGCAGC